GACUUACCGCUGCUGACGAAAUGAGUCCAGCAGACAAUGUCAGGCCCAUGGUUCGAGAGCGUGGCUGGCACAGAGCACAUCUUCCAGGCUCGGUAGUGGAUGAGACACCCUACUAGAUCACUGAGAACCUUCCAGUAGUUUUCUACUAGCACCUAAAAGAAGUGUGGUGACAACCUGUGCAUGAAACAGCUCAGGAAGAGCCUGUCUGCGAGAGUAAAAACUGACGCCCAAAGUACAGCAGAGAUGAAAGAUAGCAAGAAAUAAAAAGAGCUUCCAGCAGCAAAUCAGCUUUCGCAUGGUAUGAGAGCCUGUAAAUUCCCCAUUUUGCCUAAACUCGCUCGGGUUAAGUUUUUCAUCUUGCAACAGAAACAAUCAACCAAACAAUCUCUCACUCUCUCUCUCUCUCUCUUUCUCUCAUUUUCCAGAAAAUUUAGAAAAUGUUGUUUUAAAAGAAUGAAUUGUUCACAGGGGAAAAGUCACGUUUUUCUCAACAAAUUGAUAUUAAAUGUGCAUUUGAUUUCAAUAUACAAAGAAACCUUGCUUUGUGCACUGUCUCUUAAAUUGUUCCUUGCUUUCAUUGUACUUACUAUGAGCCUAGUCCAGGCUUUUCACUAUUUUUCAUCUGGAUCAUUCUUACCCACCUAUAAAGCACUGCUAAAAUCCUGUGUACUCCCUCAC
rnacentral:lncRNA from 10 species